rnacentral:tRNA from 1 species
GGCGAGGUAGCUCAGAUGGUUAGAGCGCAGGAUUCAUAACCCUGAGGUCGCGGGUUCAAUUCCCGCCUUCGCUA